rnacentral:lncRNA from 1 species
UCUCAGAGUAUAAAGAGGGGCAGGGAGAGACUUGGGGAAGCUCUGCUUCAGCUGUGAGCGCAGAAGGCAGGACUCGGGACAAUCUUCAUCAUGACCUGCUCCCCUCUCCUCCUCACCCUUCUCAUUCACUGCACAGGUGCCCAGACACAGGGUCAGGGGAGGGGUCCAGGAAGCCCAUGAGGCCCUGCUUUCUCCUUCUCUCUCUAGACCAAGAAUCACCGUGUCUGUGUCUCUCCUGCUUCCAGGGUCCUGGGCCCAGUCUGUGUUGACGCAGCCGCCCUCAGUGUCUGCGGCCCCAGGACAGAAGGUCACCAUCUCCUGCUCUGGAAGCAGCUCCAACAUUGGGAAUAAUUAUGUAUCCUGGUACCAGCAGCUCCCAGGAACAGCCCCCAAACUCCUCAUUUAUGACAAUAAUAAGCGACCCUCAGGGAUUCCUGACCGAUUCUCUGGCUCCAAGUCUGGCACGUCAGCCACCCUGGGCAUCACCGGACUCCAGACUGGGGACGAGGCCGAUUAUUACUGCGGAACAUGGGAUAGCAGCCUGAGUGCUGGCACAGUGCUCCAGCCCAAUGGGGAACUGAGACAAGAACCCCCUUCUUCCUCCCCCAGGAGGAAACACCAAGGAGGCAGCCACCAAGGACGAGGGGAGGCCCAGGCAUUAUACCAGGCAGCGGAGCCAGCCAGUCCCCCCAGAUGGUGGAGGGAGGUGGUGGAGGUGUCUGGGACCAGAAAAUAGUGAGGACCCUCUUACUGAAGUGAGGACGGGUGGCAUAAACUGAGGCCCAGAUGGUGGACCAGAUCUCCUGAGCCAUCUACUCAUUUCUUCGUGUGUUCCAGUUUGGAUACAAGCAAACGUGAAGGAAAUGUGCUUUAGUGCUUUGGC